GUGUUUCAUGAAUGCUUUCCUUAACCCAAGCUUUACUUGUAACUUGAGCCAGGUUUUAAUUUUAAAUAUAAAUGAAAUAAAUGGAAAUGUAGCCGUUACUUUCCAGUUUAUGUGAGUAUCACGAUGCAAUAUUUGGAACUGAUUGCAACUGCUGUAAAGUACUUUGAGGAAACCCAUUAGAAGAGAAUUAAAACUUGAACAGAUUAGCUGAUCUCUAAUGGCCCUAGGAGAAGAUC
rnacentral:lncRNA from 1 species